rnacentral:rRNA from 1 species
UGCAAUCUACCUUUUACAGAGGGAUAGCCCAGAGAAAUUUGGAUUAAUACCUCAUAGUAUUAUGAAAUGGCAUCAUUUUAUAAUUAAAGUCACAACGGUAAAAGAUGAGCAUGCGUCCCAUUAGCUAGUUGGUAAGGUAACGGCUUACCAAGGCUACGAUGGGUAGGGGUCCUGAGAGGGAGAUCCCCCACACUGGUACUGAGACACGGACCAAACUUAUACGGGAGGCAGCAGUGAGGAAUAUUGGACAAUGGGCGCAAGCCUGAUCCAGCCAUGCCGCGUGCAGGAUGACGGUCCUAUGGAUUGUAAACUGCUUUUAUACGAGAAGAAACACUGCUUCGUGAAGCAGCUUGACGGUAUCGUAAGAAUAAGGAUCGGCUAACUCCGUGCCAGCAGCCGCGGUAAUACGGAGGAUCCAAGCGUUAUCCGGAAUCAUUGGGUUUAAAGGGUCCGUAGGCGGUUUAAUAAGUCAGUGUUGAAAGCCCAUCGCUCAACGGUGGAACGGCCAUUGAUACUGAUAGACUUGAAUUAUUAGGAAGUAACUAGAA